rnacentral:lncRNA from 1 species
GUUGGGGGUGUUACAUUUUACCUACAUAAAAAACAAAAAAUUUAUGUUAAAACAACAAAUUUUAUCUCAACAUAAUAAACAUAAUGGGACUAAUUUUGUUAUUUGAAUCUAAUAGAAAACAUAAAAAACAUACGAAUCAAAAAAUAAAAUAGAAACAUACCUUACCAAAAAAAUACCUAUCAAAAACCUUCCUUUCUUACUGAAAUAAUACCUUACAAAAAUAAAAAAAUUUAAUCAAAAACUAAAUUAAUCAAAAACAUUUAUAAAAUAACAUGGUUAAAUAACAAAAAAAAUUACUAUUUAUAACCUAUAAAUAAAAAAAUCAAUAAACUAACAAAUAAUGUAUAAAUAUUAAAAAAUACUUCUUAUGAAAUUUUUUAAACCCUAAACCCUUAUAACCCCAAACAAAACCCUUAAUCUAUUUUUUCCAACCCCUAAACAAACCCUACCAGUCUUUUCUUUCAAGCCCCAAACUAAACCCUAAACAUAACUCCCUAAACCCCAACUAUUUUUCCGUUUCUUCUUUCCUUCUCUUCUCUUCUCUUCUUUUUUCCCCUUUUCCUUCUCUUCUCUUCUCCUCUUUUUCCCUUCUCCUUCUCUUCUUUCUCUAUUCUACUACUCUCUUUUUCUUUCUUUUUUCCUUCUUGUUCUCUUCUCUAAAUCUUCUUCUUCUGUUUUAUUUUUUUUCUCACAUUAAGGAACCAUUAUAAGGUCUCUAAAAACUAUUUUUCACAAAACCCUUAAAAGGUCUCAUCCCAUCAUGCACAGAUAUGCAGAAGAGGCCAAAAGCAGUAGGCCGGUGCCGCAUAUGGGGUACCCUUCACCAAAAAC